rnacentral:rRNA from 1 species
GACGAACGCUGGCGGCGUGCUUAACACAUGCAAGUCGAGCGGAGCGGCGAACGGGUGAGUAACGCGUGAGUAACUGCCCCCCUCUCUGGGAUAACAGUUGGACCCGGCUGCUAAUACCGGAUAUUGGGGGAUGACUCGCGUCCUAGCAGCUUUUUGGUGGGGUCGUGGACUACCAAGGCGACGCCGGGUAGCCGGACUGAGAGGGCGACAGGCAACAUUGGGCUGGGAUACGGCCCAAACUCCGACGGGAGGCAGCAGUGGGGAAUAUUGCACAAUGGGGGAAACCCUGAUGCAGCAACGCGCGGGCGGGAUGACGGCCUUCGGGUGGUAAACCGCUUUCAGCAAUGACGCGGUAGUGGCAGAAGAAGCACCGGCUAACUACGUGCCAGCAGCCGCGGUAAUUC